GGCUGUGGCGCGCGCGGCCACCCGCGCAGCGCGGCCUGGCGGCGCUGCCAGGGCAGCGGGACGAGGCCAGACAGCAGCAGGCCGUGCCGAAUUGCACUGUUCCCUGGUCUUCACCCACCUCAGUCCAACAGAAUCGCAUUUGGCAACUCCCAAGCAAAAAGUCCAAACUCCUCUUGGAAGGGAAGUAAAAAGAAAAGGGACAAGAAGUAACAGUAAAAAAAUACAGUAAAAGCUGUUUAUAGAAGAGUGGAUUUUAACCGGUGCAAGCCCUGUUAAUACCUGAUUGAUAAAAGAUGCAAGAUAAAAAGAUGAAAUACUGAUCUGAUUUGAAGUGCAUUUAUUCCUGUGGAUCUACAUAUUCCACA
rnacentral:lncRNA from 1 species